UACAGAGGUCUCAAGCGUUGUUCGGAUUCAUUGGGCGUAAAGGGUGCGUAGGUGGCGCCGUAAGUCGGGUGUGAAAUUUCGGAGCUUAACUCCGAAACUGCAUUCGAUACUGCGGUGCUUGAGGACUGGAGAGGAGACUGGAAUUCAUGGUGUAGCAGUGAAAAUGCGUAGAGAUCAUGAGGAAGACCAGUGGCGAAGGCGGGUCUCUGGACAGUUCCUGACACUGAGGCACGAAGGCCCAGGGGGAGCAAAACGGGGAUUAGAAAACCCC
rnacentral:rRNA from 1 species